rnacentral:rRNA from 1 species
UGGCUCAGGAUGAACGCUAGCUACAGGCUUAACACAUGCAAGUCGAGGGGCAUCAGGAAGAAAGCUUGCUUUCUUUGCUGGCGACCGGCGCACGGGUGAGUAACACGUAUCCAACCUGCCCUUUACUCGGGGAUAGCCUUUCGAAAGAAAGAUUAAUACCCGAUAGCAUAAUGAUUCCGCAUGGUUUCAUUAUUAAAGGAUUCCGGUAAAGGAUGGGGAUGCGUUCCAUUAGGUUGUUGGUGAGGUAACGGCCCACCAAGCCUUCGAUGGAUAGGGGUUCUGAGAGGAAGGUCCCCCACAUUGGAACUGAGACACGGUCCAAACUCCUACGGGAGGCAGCAGUGAGGAAUAUUGGUCAAUGGGCGCUAGCCUGAACCAGCCAAGUAGCGUGAAGGAUGAAGGCUCUAUGGGUCGUAAACUUCUUUUAUAUAAGAAUAAAGUGCAGUAUGUAUACUGUUUUGUAUGUAUUAUAUGAAUAAGGAUCGGCUAACUCCGUGCCAGCAGCCGCGGUAAUACGGAGGAUCCGAGCGUUAUCCGGAUUUAUUGGGUUUAAAGGGAGCGUAGGUGGACUGGUAAGUCAGUUGUGAAAGUUUGCGGCUCAACCGUAAAAUUGCAGUUGAUACUGUCAGUCUUGAGUACAGUAGAGGUGGGCGGAAUUCGUGGUGUAGCGGUGAAAUGCUUAGAUAUCACGAAGAACUCCGAUUGCGAAGGCAGCUCACUGGACUGCAACUGACACUGAUGCUCGAAAGUGUGGGUAUCAAACAGGAUUAGAUACCCUGGUAGUCCACACAGUAAACGAUGAAUACUCGCUGUUUGCGAUAUACAGUAAGCGGCCAAGCGAAAGCAUUAAGUAUUCCACCUGGGGAGUACGCCGGCAACGGUGAAACUCAAAGGAAUUGACGGGGGCCCGCACAAGCGGAGGAACAUGUGGUUUAAUUCGAUGAUACGCGAGGAACCUUACCCGGGCUUAAAUUGCAGUGGAAUGAUGUGGAAGCAUGUCAGUGAGCAAUCACCGCUGUGAAGGUGCUGCAUGGUUGUCGUCAGCUCGUGCCGUGAGGUGUCGGCUUAAGUGCCAUAACGAGCGCAACCCUUAUCUUUAGUUACUAACAGGUUAUGCUGAGGACUCUAGAGAGACUGCCGUCGUAAGAUGUGAGGAAGGUGGGGAUGACGUCAAAUCAGCACGGCCCUUACGUCCGGGGCUACACACGUGUUACAAUGGGGGGUACAGAAGGCAGCUAGCGGGUGACCGUAUGCUAAUCCCAAAAUCCUCUCUCAGUUCGGAUCGAAGUCUGCAACCCGACUUCGUGAAGCUGGAUUCGCUAGUAAUCGCGCAUCAGCCACGGCGCGGUGAAUACGUUCCCGGGCCUUGUACACACCGCCCGUCAAGCCAUGGGAGCCGGGGGUACCUGAAGUACGUAACCGCAAGGAUCGUCCUAGGGUA